rnacentral:rRNA from 1 species
UACGUAGGGUGCGAGCGUUGUCCGGAAUUAUUGGGCGUAAAGAGCUCGUAGGCGGUGUGUCGCGUCGGCCGUGAAAACCUGCAGCUUAACUGUGGGCGUGCGGUCGAUACGGGCAUCACUGGAGUUCGGCAGGGGGAGACUGGAAUUCCUGGUGUAGCGGUGAAAAUGCGCAGAUAUCAGGAGGAACACCGGUGGCGAAGGCGGGGUCUCUGGGCCGAUACUGACGCUGAGGAGCGAAAAGCCGUGGGGGAGCGAAACAGG